rnacentral:rRNA from 1 species
UACGUAGGGGGCAAGCGUUGUCCGGAAUCACUGGGCGUAAAGGGCGCGUAGGCGGCCUGUUAAGUCGGGGGUGAAAUCCUGCGGCUUAACCGCAGGGCUGCCUUCUAAACUGUCGGGCUAGAGCACGGUAGAGGCAGAUGGAAUUCCCGGUGUAGCGGUGGAAUGCGUAGAGAUCGGGAAGAACAUCAGUGGCGAAGGCGGUCUGCUGGGCCGUUGCUGACGCUGAGGCGCGACAGCGUGGGGAGCAAACAGG